AGUGAACGCUGGCGGUAGGCCUAACACAUGCAAGUCGAACGGCAGCACAGUAAGAGCUUGCUCUUACGGGUGGCGAGUGGCGGACGGGUGAGGAAUACAUCGGAAUCUACUUUUUCGUGGGGGAUAACGUAGGGAAACUUAUGCUAAUACCGCAUACGACCUACGGGUGAAAGCAGGGGAUCUUCGGACCUUGCGCGAUUGAAUGAGCCGAUGUCGGAUUAGCUAGUUGGCGGGGUAAAGGCCCACCAAGGCGACGAUCCGUAGCUGGUCUGAGAGGAUGAUCAGCCAAACUGGAACUGAGACACGGUCCAGACUCCUACGGGAGGCAGCAGUGGGGAAUAUUGGACAAUGGGCGCAAGCCUGAUCCAGCCAUACCGCGUGGGUGAAGAAGGCCUUCGGGUUGUAAAGCCCUUUUGUUGGGAAAGAAAAGCAGCAGGUUAAUACCCCGCUGUUCUGACGGUACCCAAAGAAUAAGCACCGGCUAACUUCGUG
rnacentral:rRNA from 1 species